rnacentral:lncRNA from 1 species
UUUUUUUUUUUUUUUUUUUUUUUUUUUNGCUAGGACUUCCAGGACUGUGUUGAACCACAGUGGUGGAGAGUGGGCAUCCUUGUCUUGAUCUAGAUUUUAGUGGGAAGGCUUUCAGCUUUUCUCCAUUGAGUAUUAUCUUUGCUGUGGGCUUGUCAUCAAUGGCUUUGAUUAUGUUACGGUAUGUUCCCUCUAUACUCACUUUGGUAAGAGUUCCUAUCACGAAUGCAUGUUGGACUUUGUCAAAUGCUUUUUCUGCCUCUAUUGAGAUGCUCAUGUGGUUUUUGACUUUUCUUUCGUUAAUGUGGUAUAUGACGUUGAUUGAUUUGCGUAUGUUGAACUAUCCUUGUGAACCUGGGAUGAAUCCCACUGGUCGUGGUGUAUGAUUGCUUUUGUUGGAUUGGGUUGGCUAAAAUUUUGUUGAGAAUUUUUGUGUCUAUAUUCAUCAAAGAUAUUGGCCUAUUGUUUUCCUUUUUGGUGGUAUCUUUGUCUGGUUUUGGAAUUAGGGUGAUGGAGGCAUCACAGAAUGUCUUUGAGAGUGUUCCUUCUUCUUCAGCCUUUUGGAGAAGUUUAAGGAGGGUGGGUAUAAGUUCCUCUUUGUAUGUUUGGUAGAAUUCGCCUGUGAAGCCAUCUGGUCCUGGACUUUAAUUUGUAGGGAGUGUUUUUGUGACCUACUCAAUUUCAUUUCUAGUGAUCGGUCUGUUCAGGUCAUCUAUUUCUUCUUGAUUCAGUGUUGGUAGGCUGUAAGUCUCUAGAAAGUUGUCCAUUUCUUCUAGGUUGUCAAGUAUGUUAGCGUACAAUUGUUGACAGUAUUGUCUCAUGGUUUUUUGUAUUUCUGUAGUAUCCAUUGUGACUUCUCCUUUUUCCUUUCUUAUUUUGUUUAUCUGAGUUUUUUCUCUCCUCUUCUUGGUGAGCCUAGCCAGAGGUUUGUCAAUUUUGUUGACCUUUUCAAAGAACCAGCUCUUGGUCUUACUGAUUUUUUAUAUUGUUUUUUUAAUCUCUGUUAUAUUGAUUUCCUGUGUGAUCUUUACGAUUUCCUUCCUUCUGCUGACUUUAGCUGUUGUUUGUUCUUCUUUUUCUAAUUCAUUUAGGUGGUGGGUUAAGGUGUCAAUUGGAUAGUUUUAUUCUUUUUUGAGGAAGGCCUGUAUUGCUAUGAAUUUCCCUCUGAGCACUACUUUUGCAGCAUCCCAAAGAUUUUGAGUAGUUGUGUCUUCAUUAUCAUUUGUCUCAAGGUAGUUUUUUAAUUUCCUUUUUGAUUUCCUCAUUGACCCAUUGGUUUUUUUAGUAGCAUGUUGUUUAGUCUCCAUGUUAAGUUUUUUUCUCAUUUCUUUUCCUGUGGUUGAUUUCAUGCCAUUGUGGUUAGAGAAGAUACUUGAAUUAAUUUCUAUACUCUUAAAUUUGUUAGGUUAGCUUUGUGCCCCAGUGUGUGAUCAAUUUUUGAGAAUGUAAAAUGUGCACUUGAGAAAAAUUUAUAUUCUCAUUUUUUUUUAAUGUAAUGUCCUGAAAAUGUCAAUUAGGUCUAACUUUUCUAUUGUGUCCUUUAGAAUCUCUGUUGCCUUUUUGAUUUUCUGUCUAGAGAAUCUUUCCAUUGAUGUGAGUGGGUGUUAAAGUCUCCUACUAUUAUUGUAUUCCCAUCAAUUUCUCCUUUUAUGUCUGUUAGUAUUUUUUGUAGGCAUCUGGAUGCUCCUAUAUUAGGGGCAUAUAUAUUCACAAUUGUAAUAUCCUCUUCUUGAAUGGAUCCUUUUACCAUUAAAUAGUGUCCUUCUUUGUCUUUCUUUAUGGCCUUUGUUUUAAAGUCUAUUUUGUCUGAUAUGAGUACUGCAGCUCCUGCUUUCCUAUCUUGUCCAUUGGCAUGAAAUAUCUUCUCCCAUCCCCUCACUUUCAAUCUACAUGUGAAAGGACUAUUUUUCAAAUGUAUUGAACCAAUUAUGUAAAUAUGAGCUCAUUAACCUGAUACUUUCAUAAUAACAAAAAUGUAACAGGCAGAGGUUUAGGGAAGAAUAUUAACAUUUAAUAUGUAGGAUGAACACUAGUGAUUAAAAAAUGUUUCACAUUAACUGAGGUCCUUUUAGAUUUUUAGGUUUUUGAGGGAACUACAUGUUUGAAUUAAUUUCUAUAAUAGUUAUUUCUUGAAUGACAGACACUGUGCUAGAAGUUGGGGUACAGAAGUGAGACAAAGAAAUUAAACAGAUUUUAAGCCUUCACAGAGUUUAAUAUCAAGUCCAGGGGACAUUACUGAAUCAAAUAUUCAUUCAAUGAAUACAAAUAUCAACUCCAAUAUGUCCUAAGAAGCAAAGGUCUUGGUGCUAAGAGUGUGUAAAACAAGUAAACCUGAAACCUGACCAGUGAGGAGAAUGGGAAAGUUUUCUCCAGAAAUGACAUCUGAACAAAGAUUUCAGUGAUGAGGGGGUGUUCACUAGACAGAUCCUUUUGAAAUUAAAGGAAAGGAAGAGAGGGAAAGAAAGGGAAGGGAAGGGAAGGGAAGGAAGGGAGGAGAAGAAGAAACCUCAUUACCAAAGGCACCUUUGUUGUUUGGGGUUUGGUUUGGUUUGGGGCUUUGUCUUCCAUUUUAUUGACAAACCUCCAUACUUUGCUGUGAACCUUCCUGAGCUGUUGUAUUUCCAAACCUUGAGAAGAAAGUAGAUAUAUUAAAGAGAACUAGAAGAGGCUAAUGUGGCUGGGUUGGAGAGUCUGACCACAUAGGUUGACAAAAUCUUGUAUACAGUGAUUAACACUUCUGUCUUUCCUUUAAGAAAACAAACAGCAAAGCUUUGCAGAGUGUUUAAGGAUGCCCACGUGCUAUGAGAACACGUGGUUUAAACAUGCAAGGACUUUAUUAGAGAAAUUGCUAUGAGAGGAAAUGGGCCAAGGGAGGCAAGGAGGGGGAGGGGUGAGUGGGAUGGAUAGGGAACUCAGAGUUAAUAGAUGCAAACUACUGCCUUUGGAAUGGAUAAGCAAUGAGAUCUUGCUGUAUGACACUGGGAACUAUAUCUAGUCACUUAUGAUGGAGCAUAAUGUGAGAAAAAAGAAUGUAUAGGAGUUCCCAUCAUGGCUCAGUGGUUAACGAAUCCAACUAGGAACCAUGAGGUUGCUAUUUCAAUCCCUGGCCUCGUUCAGUGGGUUAAGGAUCUGGCGUUGCUGUGAGCUGUGGUGUAGGUUGCAGACAUGCCUCGGAUCCCACAUUUCCGUGGCUCUGGCAUAGGCUGGUGGCCACAGCUAUGAUUAGACCCUUAGCCUGGGAACCUCCAUAUGCCACGGGUGUGACCCUAGAAAAGACAAAAAAAAAAAAAAAAAAAAGAAUGUAUACAUGUACGUGUGACUGGGUCACCUUUCUGUUCAGUAGAAAAUUGACAGACCACUGUAAACCAUUAUAAUGGAAAAAAUAAAAAUCAUUACAAAAUUUUUAAAAAAUUCUUUCAUAGUCAGGAUUUUCAUGUUAUCUUAAAACACAAUAUGUUUGAAAGGCAUUUAACUCCUAAACCCAUAAAGGGAUUUUCUUGUUAUUUUUAUAAAAAUAUUUAUUAGCCAGUGGGUAUUUAACCAUGUAGGUUCAAUGGGGUAAGAAAAAUAAUCAAAAGAAACAUAUAUUCUACCUCAAAAAGGACAGACUGGCCUCUAGUCUAUUCCAGUCUUCUAUUUUCUUAGACUGGGAGUUAAAGCUACUUUAUAGGGCUUUGUUUAUUUGUUUCCAUUUGAAGACUUAAGGAAGAAAUUUCUGGCAAAGUUCUUGGAGAUGUCUGAUGCCACGAGACUGAGCUAAUUUGACAGUCUGUUAAUUUUGUUAUUCAGCUGUGACAUAUUGCAUCUAUAAGAACUACUGCUUUAUAUAAGCUUUGUAAUACAAACCAGCAGGAUGACAUCAAUUUCUUUUCUGUUUAUUUUCUGAGAAUCAAUUAUUUUAUGUGAAACAGGAAGAUAUGUCACUAUUUUUGACAGCUAUAAAAAAACAGAUUUCAAUAUCCUACCCUGUGAACUUUACCACAAUAUCGUAUUUCCAUUUAGCUUAAGUUGCAAGUUCAAAGACAAACUUGAUUUACAGAGUUGCCUGUUCUCUUCUAAAGAACUCUAAAUAUCCAAGACACUUGUGUUCUUUUUUUACAAGAGAAAUGGAUAAAACAGACACACAAUAAAUCAGUAGCUUUGACAAAAAUGCUACUCUGCUCACUAUACUUUCCAUUACCUCUUCUCUCUCCUUUUAAUUUACAAAUUGAAUUUCACCCUUUCCCACAACAGAUUUAGCAUUUCAAACCCUGUAGUCAUACUUUUUCUACUAACCCCAGUAAUCUCUCAGUGUAUGUUUCACUUAGUUUUUAGUAUCAUCCCUGAAAAAUCCAUUCACUCUUUCUUCACUAGUGGUCAGUGAUGAUGCUGGAAUCUUUUAUACUCUCAAUAUUUCCCUAAAAAGACUCUAAACCCCUUUCUAAUUAACUUGCUGACUUCCUUUUGUCACUCAAGUGUCCUAACCUAUUAAAUUUAAAACAAAGAAGUCUUCCACCUGUACUAAUGCAUGAAACUAUCAAAACAUCAUUUAUGACUGAUCUUCUAUUUAUUCCAAUGUUACUUUUGGAAAUAAGAACAAAGUAGUUGGAAAAUAAACAUUUCUUAUAACUGAACAGUAGGUCUGCAUUAGGUUCUCACAAGACAAAGAAAAAAGGUCUAGAAAGCAUAAAACUACCUUCAAGUGGUUAAACCCAGAGCAUUCAUUCUUUCAAGGAAAAUCACAUUAUUAACAAAAAACGUUCACAUCAGCUGCAAAGGCACUUAAAAUAUUUUCUCACUUUGGUACCCCGAUUCCCAAUUUAUUUUCCAAAAACUGAAAUAUUUUUCUCAGUAUUGUUUACAUGCCAUAAAGUGACAUAAAGUGAUUUACUCUCUACUAAAAUGUUAACCACUAUAGACAAUCUCAGUAGAAUAAAUAAGAAAUUUUGAAAAUUUCCAAGCCAUUUGCCCUAAUAAGCACUUAAAUUUUGGCCCAUGAAUAAUAGGUAUUUAACCCAGUUAUUCUCUUUGUUUGCCAUAUUGCCCAUCUCCUUCUGAAAGCCUUCUCAUAAUUAAUCAUUAUCUCCUCCCUCCUGUGUAUUUUGUGCAUUUACUAAAUCAGAAGGGCAGAGCAGAGUGCCUAACAGCUCUUUGGUAUUUUGCUACUGUUCUUUUCCCUUAACUAUGAAAAGAGUUUCUUGAAAGAAUAGUACCUGUCUUUGCCAAGGGGGAGGGGGAGGGAGUGUGAUAGAUGGGGAGCUUGGGGUUAAUAGAUGCAGACUACUGCCUUUGGAAUGGAUUAGCAAUGAGAUCCUGCUGUGUAGUACUGGGAACUAUGUCUAGUCACUUAUGAUGGAGAAUGAUAAUGUGAGAAAAAAGAACAUAUACAUGUAUGUGUACCUGGGUCACCAUGCUGUACAAUAGAAGAAAAAUGUUUUGGGGAAAAAAAAUAAAAUCUUUUCUAAUAUUCCAGUCAUUAACCAAAAAGAUCCCCUGCACGAGCAACACUUGCCUUUACUAGAGAAUUACACAGCCCCUACUCGUUCUACUCUGGAAGUUCUGCACCUACAGGUAGCUUAAAGAUUCUGCUUCUGUUGAGAGCAGGGAAAAAAAAUCUCAAACUGGCUUAAACAAAAAUGUAUUUACUGUUCAUUUAAAUGAAAGGUUCACAUUAAAGAGCGACUUCAGAGAUGGCUUUCUUCAGGAUUCAAAUGAUAACUCCAGUUUUCUUUGCUUCCCCUACAGUGACUCCCUUCUCGGGAGUCCUUGUGGUGUUUUCUGCAUCUUUAGGCUCCUGUAACCAUCACACUCAAUCCAGAGCCAGGAGAGUUGAACAAAAGCUCAAACGGAAGUCUGGAUUGAGUCUUCUUGGUUGAGAUUGGCCAGGCUGGUGGUACUAACUGGCUUAGUUUGGGUAAAGGCUCCAGCUCUGGAGCCCAGGGGCAGAGGCACCUCCAACACAAAGUUUGUGGGUCAAGAGGGAAGGCAGAGUGGCCUCCGGGCAAAACUGUGGUCAUGGGAACACAGACAAAGUGAAACACAACCAAUCCACAGCCACUUCUGACUUUCAGGUAAUUUACUACUUUUCUUAGCAAUAGAUUUUAUCAGACUUGGAACUCUCUGAGAGAUCUAUAUCAUGCUGCCAUGAUGUCCCCUAAUGGCAGACACAUUUUACAGAAUUAUCCAAUGAAAUUCUCAUUUGUUCUUCUAGAAACAAUUUCCAAAUUUGUAUAACAUAAAAUAACAGAUAUACUAAUAGUGCACUUGGACUUCCACCAUCCUUUAAUUUGCUCGUCUCAAGAUCUCGAUAUAACAAAAUCAUGUGAUUUUUUUUCCAUUAUCUAUUUUUUGACAUAUGAACACCAUAGAUAAAUAACUUCUAUAAAUUUUUGAAGUCUAAUUUUUGGUUAAUUAUCUCCAAUUCUUAAUAAAGUCCUAAAAGAUUUCUCUGAUUUAACAGUUCUUGACUUGUGAUUUUAGCUAUUUUUACCCUUUUUAACAUGGCACUAAAAGCUCCCCAUGGCAAGAGGGAAUGUGUUAAAAGUCUGUGGUUAAUGUCUCGCCUGCUCCUAGAUGACUUCUUUAAGAGGCCCAUUCCUUUUAGCACUUUCAAACUCGAUAACUGUGUUCACCAGUGUCACCGCCUUUUUCUCUUUUGUAAACACUUGAGAAACAUGUCAAAUGUCAUUCUAUCUUUCUUCUCCCUCCUGCUUCCCUUUAAAUAUUUCAGCAGAAAAAAAAAUUUCCAAAAAAUGUAUUUGCCUUUAUUUAUCCAAUAAAACUGUGUAUUUGCAUACUAUGAAAUAUUUUUCAGCAAUGCUAAGGGUUAUUUUAGUUUAGUUUUGUUGUUGUUUGCCUCUUGUCAAUUUCAUCCCACAUUUACUUCUUUUCAUAAAGUUGACUUUUUUCCAUUCAAACUCCUGUCAGACUUUCCCUUGAAGCACAUUAGCACCUUCUUAAAGAUGCCUUCUCCAAACAACUCUUCAAAGGACUGGCAUAGAGUUUAAACCUAAAGCCACCAUCUUAAAAUUAUUUUUGUUUUUAUCCACAUGUCAAAAAUUAAAACUGAAAGAAGAGUCAUAAAAUAUUAUUGAACUUAUAAUAUUUUGUAUUUACAUAUACAAACACUGUUAAGUCCCAAAAUAGUAAUUUAAAGUGAUAGAUAUUUUUGUCUAUUGAUUUUAAUUAAAUUUACUUUAGGAUGUCAGGUUGGCAAGUAAGAGAGAAAGGAGAAAUAGAUGAAAAAACCACGAGGAAGCUUUUUAUCCCAGCUCUUGGGGAAAAAAACUAAUAAGCCACCUCCACAGUGAAUUUCUAGUGAAUCAUUAACCAGGGAUUUGUUGCCUUGGUUACUGAGCCAGGUAGAGAUUCCAGUAAAAAAGCAAUGUGACCUAUGUGCUCAGGAAACUGAAGAAGUGAAAUUUCUGCAUUAUAAUAUUUGCAGUUUCUACAGAAAGAAAUGAAAAGAGUAAAAAACGUAUGUUAAAAGGGAAAAAAUACCUUGAUUUUCAUCCCAAUGUCAAGACGUUUACACACACACAAUAGCACCUCAGUAUUAGUUUGCUUGUGAGAUUUUACAAAAUAUAGACCAUUUCCCAUAUACGUGACAUCUCCUAUCCUAGAAAACACAGCACUUGGCUUAUCAGUGGUCACUGGACAUUCCAUCUGUAGAGAAUAUUUUGAAAAUAAUACGUUUACAAAAUAAGCAUUGAGAGGAGUUCCUGUUGUGGUGCAGUGGUUAACAAAUCCGACUAGGAACCAUGAGGUUUCGGGUUCGAUCCCUGCCCUUG